UACGGAGGGUGCAAGCGUUAUCCGGAUUCACUGGGCUUAAAGGGUGCGCAGGCGGAUUUGUAAGUCAGUGGCGAAAGCCCCGGGCUCAACCUGGGAAUUGCAGUUGAUACUGCAUAACUUGAGUGCAGCUGAGGUGGGCGGAAUACAUCACGUAGCGGUGAAAUGCUUAGAUAUGAUGUAGAACACCGAUUGCGAAGGCAGCUCGCUAAACUGCAACUGACGCUCAGGCACGAAAGCGUGGGUAUCAAACAGG
rnacentral:misc_RNA from 1 species